GAAAUCGUUGAGUUUGAUUUUGCAGAAGCAUGGAGAACUGGACGGAUGGACGCCGGAGAAGGACGGUUUGGCGGCGACCGGAAACUUAAGGGCUAAGUUUCCGACGAGAACCCGAAGAAAGGGGCAGGGAUCCAUGAUGAAGUCGAAUUAGGCGGCGCCGGCGAAAUACGCCGGGAAAAGAGGAGAAGGGAGAGAGAACAGGGAGAAUUAUCCG
rnacentral:misc_RNA from 1 species